GACGAACGCUGGCGGCGUGCUUACCACAUGCAAGUCGAACGAAGUGGCGAACGGGUGAGUAACGCGUAAUCAACCUGCCCUUCAGAGGGGGACAACCGUUGGAACCGCCUGCUAAUACCGCAUACUGACUGAGGGGAUUGCGUCUGAUUAGCUAGUUGGAGGGGUAACGGCCCACCAAGGCGAUGAUCAGUAGCCGGUCUGAGAGGAUGAACGGCCACAUUGGGACUGAGACACGGCCCAGACUCCGACGGGAGGCAGCAGUGGGGAAUCUUCCGCAAUGGACGAAAGUCUGACGGAGCAACGCCGCGUGAGUGAUGACGGCCUGCGGGUUGGAAAGCUCUGUUAAUCGGGACGCGGUACCGGAAUAGAAAGCCACGGCUAACUCCGUGCCAGCAGCCGCGGUAAUAC
rnacentral:rRNA from 1 species